UACGAAGGGGGCUAGCGUUGCUCGGAAUGACUGGGCGUAAAGGGCGCGUAGGCGGCUGUGACAGUCAGAUGUGAAAUUCCUGGGCUCAACCUGGGGACUGCGCUUGAGACGUGUGGGCUUGAGUGGGGAAGAGGGUCGUGGAAUUCCCAGUGUAGAGGUGAAAUUCGUAGAUAUUGGGAAGAACACCGGUGGCGAAGGCGGCGACCUGGUCCUUGACUGACGCUGAGGCGCGAAAGCGUGGGGAGCAAACAGG
rnacentral:rRNA from 1 species